ACGAGUGUGCUCCUGGGAGAGCAUGCGGUCUCCAAAGCUGCCGAAUGGGGUUCGAAUCCUCACGCUCGUG
rnacentral:tRNA from 1 species